GACAGAGGCCCCGAGCGUUAAUCGGAAUUACUGGGCUUAAAGGGUGCGUAGGUGGACCAGCAAGUGCUUUGUGAAAGCCCCCCGGCUCAACCGGGGAACUGCGGGGCAUACUGCUGGUCUUGAGGCAGGUAAGGGCCGACGGAACUGAAGGUGGAGCGGUGAAAUGCGUAGAUAUCUUCAGGAACGCCGAUGGUGAAGACGGUCGGCUGGGCCUGUCCUGACACUGAGGCACGGAAAGCGUGGGGAGCAAACAGG
rnacentral:rRNA from 1 species